rnacentral:rRNA from 1 species
GGAGCUUGCUCCACCGGAAAAAGAAGAGUGGCGAACGGGUGAGUAACACGUGGGUAACCUGCCCAUCAGAAGGGGAUAACACUUGGAAACAGGUGCUAAUACCGUAUAACAAUCGAAACCGCAUGGUUUUGAUUUGAAAGGCGCUUUCGGGUGUCGCUGAUGGAUGGACCCGCGGUGCAUUAGCUAGUUGGUGAGGUAACGGCUCACCAAGGCCACGAUGCAUAGCCGACCUGAGAGGGUGAUCGGCCACAUUGGGACUGAGACACGGCCCAAACUCCUACGGGAGGCAGCAGUAGGGAAUCUUCGGCAAUGGACGAAAGUCUGACCGAGCAACGCCGCGUGAGUGAAGAAGGUUUUCGGAUCGUAAAACUCUGUUGUUAGAGAAGAACAAGGAUGAGAGUAACUGUUCAUCCCUUGACGGUAUCUAACCAGAAAGCCACGGCUAACUACGUGCCCAGCAGCCGCGGUAAUACGUAGGUGGCAAGCGUUGUCCGGAUUUAUUGGGCGUAAAGCGAGCGCAGGCGGUUUCUUAAGUCUGAUGUGAAAGCCCCCGGCUCAACCGGGGAGGGUCAUUGGAAACUGGGAGACUUGAGUGCAGAAGAGGAGAGUGGAAUUCCAUGUGUAGCGGUGAAAUGCGUAGAUAUAUGGAGGAACACCAGUGGCGAAGGCGGCUCUCUGGUCUGUAACUGACGCUGAGGCUCGAAAGCGUGGGGAGCAAACAGGAUUAGAUACCCUGGUAGUCCACGCCGUAAACGAUGAGUGCUAAGUGUUGGAGGGUUUCCGCCCUUCAGUGCUGCAGCUAACGCAUUAAGCACUCCGCCUGGGGAGUACGACCGCAAGGUUGAAACUCAAAGGAAUUGACGGGGGCCCGCACAAGCGGUGGAGCAUGUGGUUUAAUUCGAAGCAACGCGAAGAACCUUACCAGGUCUUGACAUCCUUUGACCACUCUAGAGAUAGAGCUUCCCCUUCGGGGGCAAAGUGACAGGUGGUGCAUGGUUGUCGUCAGCUCGUGUCGUGAGAUGUUGGGUUAAGUCCCGCAACGAGCGCAACCCUUAUUGUUAGUUGCCAUCAUUCAGUUGGGCACUCUAGCAAGACUGCCGGUGACAAACCGGAGGAAGGUGGGGAUGACGUCAAAUCAUCAUGCCCCUUAUGACCUGGGCUACACACGUGCUACAAUGGGAAGUACAACGAGUCGCGAAGUCGCGAGGCUAAGCUAAUCUCUUAAAGCUUCUCUCAGUUCGGAUUGUAGGCUGCAACUCGCCUACAUGAAGCCGGAAUCGCUAGUAAUCGCGGAUCAGCACGCCGCGGUGAAUACGUUCCCGGGCCUUGUACACACCGCCCGUCACACCACGAGAGUUUGUAACACCCGAAGUCGGUGAGGUAACCUUUG